rnacentral:rRNA from 1 species
UACGUAGGGUGCAAGCGUUGUCCGGAAUUAUUGGGCGUAAAGAGCUCGUAGGCGGUUCGUCGCGUCGGCUGUGAAAUCCCCGGAGCUCAACCGUCGGUCUGCAGUCGAUACGGGCGGACUGGAGUUCGGCAGGGGAGACUGGAAUUCCUGGUGUAGCGGUGAAAUGCGCAGAUAUCAGGAGGAACACCGGUGGCGAAGGCGGGUCUCUGGGCCGAUACUGACGCUGAGGAGCGAAAGCGUGGGGAGCGAACAGG